rnacentral:rRNA from 1 species
GCUAGCUACAGGCUUAACACAUGCAAGUCGAGGGGCAGCAUGAAAGGAACUUCGGUUCUUUUUGAUGGCGACCGGCGCACGGGUGCGUAACGAGUAUCGAACUUGCAUCAUACUCGGGGAUAGCCUUGCGAAAGUAAGAUUAAUACCCGGCGGUCUCGGAUGGCCGCAUGACUGUCCGAGUGAAGAUUUAUCGGUAUGAGAUGGCGAUGCGUCCCAUUAGCUUGUUGGUGAGGUAACGGCUCACCAAGGCAUCGAUGGGUAGGGGUUCUGAGAGGAAGGUCCCUCACAUGGGAAAUGAGACACGGUCCAAACUCCUACGGGAGGCAGCAGUGAGGAAUAUUGGUCAAUGGACGAAAGUUUGAACCAGCCAAGUAGCGUGCAGGAUGACGGCCCUUUGGGUUGUAAAUUGCUUUUAGUUGGGAAUAAAAAGAGGGACGUGUCCCUUAUUGUAUGUACCAUCAGAAAAAGGACCGGCUAAUUCCGUGCCAGCAGCCGCGGUAAUACGGAAGGUCCAGGCGUUAUCCGGAUUUAUUGGGUUUAAAGGGAGUGCAGGCGGCGGCGUAAGUCAGUUGUGAAAUCGUGCGGCUUAACCGUGCAAUUGCAGUUGAUAUUGCGUCGCUUGAGUGCACACAGGGAUGUUGGAAUUCAUGGUGUAGCGGUGAAAUGCUUAGAUAUCAUGAAGAACUCCGAUCGCGAAGGCAUAUGUCCGGAGUGCAACUGACGCUGAGGCUCGAAAGUGUGGGUAUCAAACACG